CCCUUAGAUGUUCUGGGCCGCACGCGCGCUACACUGAUGCAUUCAACGAGUCUAAAACCUGCUCUGAUAGGGGUGGGUAAUCUUUUGAAUGUGCAUCGUGAGUGGGAUAGAUGAUUGCAAUUUUUCAUCUUCAACGAGGAAUGCCUAGUAAACGCAAGUCAUCAGCUUGCAUUGAUUACGUCCCUGCCCUUUGUACACACCGCCCGUCGCUCCUACCGAUUGAAUGAUCCGAUGAAUAUCAUGGAUUGAGGAUGCAAGUAGGUUCGCCUAUCUUCAUCUUCGAGAAGUGAAGUAAAUCUUAUCAUUUAGAGGAAGGAGAAGUCGUAACA
rnacentral:rRNA from 1 species